rnacentral:rRNA from 1 species
UACGGGAGGCAGCAGUGGGGAAUAUUGCACAAUGGGCGAAAGCCUGAUGCAGCUAUGCCGCGUGUAUGAAGAAGGCCUUAGGGUUGUAAAGUACUUUCAUCGGGGAGGAAAAAACAAAACUAAUAAUUUUAUUUCUUGACGUUACCCGAAAAAGAAGCACCGGCUAACUCCGUGCCAGCAGCCGCGGUAAUACGGAGGGUGCUAGCGUUAAUCAGAAUUACUGGGCGUAAAGAGCACGUAGGUGGUUUUUUUAAAGUCAGAUGUGAAAUCCCUGGGCUUAACCUAGGAACUGCAUUUUGAAACUGAAAUACUAGAGUAUCGUAGAGGGAGGUAGAAUUCUAGGUGUAGCGGUGAAAUGCGUAGAUAUCUGGAGGAAUACCUGUGGCGAAAGCGGCCUCCUAAACGAAUACUGACACUGAGGGUGCGAAAAGCGGUGGGGAGCAAAACAGGGAUUAGAUACC